rnacentral:rRNA from 1 species
UACGUAGGGGGCGAGCGUUGUCCGGAUUCAUUGGGCGUAAAGCGCGCGCAGGCGGUGGCGUGAGCCCGGCGUGAAAGCCCCCGGCUCAACUGGGGAGGGUCACGCGAUACUGAUCGACUCGAAGGCAGGAGAGGGUAGUGGAAUUCCCGGUGUAGUGGUGAAAUGCGUAGAUAUCGGGAGGAACACCAGUGGCGAAGGCGACUACCUGGCCUGUUCUUGACGCUGAGGCGCGAAAGCUAGGGGAGCAAACGGG